GCGGGGGUAACCAAGCUUGGCCAAAGGUGCAAGGUUUAGGCCCUUGUUGCGUAGGCAUUCCUGGGUUCAAACGUGGUUCUAAUACGGUUAGAACAGCUGAAAUUCCCAGCCCCCGCACCA
rnacentral:tRNA from 1 species